rnacentral:lncRNA from 1 species
CCUGUAGAUUUCGGAUGCUAACGCAUCUAAUUUCUUCUAAUUUCGGUAGAUGGAAUCUAACGGUGACUGAAAGCUAGCAGCGAAACAGUUUCGAAAUUCCAAACCAGAGCUCGACGCUUUAUUCAGUUUAGUCACUCAAAUCCUACACUCGCACACAACACAGACACAGAUCGGACUCUUCACAUUUGUGGAAUCAGAAACUGUCGUGUGACUUGGAUGAGACGUAGUCGAUCGAAGUACUGAACUAGCAAGGUGGGUCACUUCGGAAGCUAUGCGGAUCAGCUUAUAAUGAUUGAAAUCUUCUUCGGAUUGCAGCCUGCUUGGGUAGGUUCCCUAGCCACACUGCUCCGGAGUUGAACCUGACAGCAGUUCGGGUGCGUCAGUUUAGCAUAUGAACGAGAAUCACUCACAGUCCUAGUCCUCGCCGAUCAUGUUCCGAUCCACAAUCGACAACAGUUUCUGAUUUAAGGUUCGUUCAGAAGUGUAAACAAGAGCAAUAAAGAGAUGGAUUAUUGGGACAUGUGUGAUUACCUGCUGUGGCCAAGUGUUCAUGGACCGUGA